rnacentral:lncRNA from 1 species
CUUGUUUUUGUCAGUUCAAAAUUAAACUUCUGCCCGUUCGCUGUGCAUCAACGAAUAAGACUUCAAUUAGCAGCAGGUAAUGAAUGGUAGAUGCAUGGCAGCAAGUUAUUCGUCUCUUCUACAGCACCCGCCGUGUGAGUUCCUUUGCUUUGUUUUCUCUUUGCUCUAAUCACAAGGAAGCGCGGAGGGAGCGGGUGCGGGAGCCCAGUCCAACUACCAAUCGAGCUUUCAAUUUGUUCGCUUUGCCGAUAUUCUUCGCCAUUGUUUUGCUGUGUUUACUUUUGAAGAGAAAUGCAGCUUUGACAGUUAUUUGUGUGCUUUUUGUCCGCGCUGUCGAAACACGUUUGCAGCAGCGACUGGCAGCAGCGACAACAACAAAAAAGAUAAGAGAGAAUGGCUAGUGUUGCUGUAACUGGUCAAGCCGAAACGUUUGAUGCCCUUGCGUGAUAAUUACAUAUGUUCAUUCAUACCUACGUAUAAAUAUGUAUAUGUCCUUCUAUAUGUAC